GGCCCAUCUCGUGGUGAUUUGGCCGGUCGGCUUGCAGCCACGUUAAACAAGUCGCUAAAAGGCCGUGCAGCGUUCCUG
rnacentral:ncRNA from 1 species